rnacentral:rRNA from 1 species
AGUGAACGCUGGCGGUAGGCCUAACACAUGCAAGUCGAACGGCAGCACAGUAAGAGCUUGCUCUUACGGGUGGCGAGUGGCGGACGGGUGAGGAAUACAUCGGAAUCUACUUUUUCGUGGGGGAUAGCGUAGGGAAACUUACGCUAAUACCGCAUACGACCUACGGGUGAAAGCAGGGGAUCUUCGGACCUUGCGCGAUUGAAUGAGCCGAUGUCGGAUUAGCUAGUUGGCGGGGUAAAGGCCCACCAAGGCGACGAUCCGUAGCUGGUCUGAGAGGAUGAUCAGCCACACUGGAACUGAGACACGGUCCAGACUCCUACGGGAGGCAGCAGUGGGGAAUAUUGGACAAUGGGCGCAAGCCUGAUCCAGCCAUACCGCGUGGGUGAAGAAGGCCUUCGGGUUGUAAAGCCCUUUUGUUGGGAAAGAAAAGCGGCAGGUUAAUACCCCGCUGUUCUGACGGUACCCAAAGAAUAAGCACCGGCUAACUUCGUG